rnacentral:tRNA from 1 species
GAGGUUGUAGCUCCGUGGUUGAGUGCUUGUCUUACAUACAUGAGGCACUGGGUUUGAUCCUCAGCACCACA